rnacentral:rRNA from 1 species
AUUGAACGCUGGCGGCAGGCUUAACACAUGCAAGUCGAGCGAGCGGCGGAAGGGUGAGUAAUGUCUGGGAAACUGCGUGAUGGAGGGGGCUCACUACUGGACACGGUCGCUAAUACCGCAUAACAUCAUAUGUGCCCAGAUGGGAUUAGCUAGUAGGUGGGGUAAUGGCUCACCUAGGCGACGAUCCCUAGCUGGUCUGAGAGGAUGAACAGCCACACUGGGACUGAGACACGGUCCAGACUCCUACGGGAGGCAGCAGUGGGGAAUAUUGCACAAGGGGCGCAAGCCUGAUGCAGCCAUGCCGCGUGUAUGAAGAAGGCCUUCGGGUUGUAAAGUACUUUCAGCGGGGAGGCGUUACCCACAGAAGAAGCACCGGCUAACUCCGUGCCAGCAGCCGCGGUAAUAC